rnacentral:lncRNA from 1 species
CUUUGACCACCCCGCUCCUAUACGAUGAGUGACGUCCCCGUCAAUCUCUCCGUCCCCCUGAAUCACCGACCCAAGAUAUCUGACAUUGUCCGUCUUGGCGAUGGCCUGAGAUCCAAUCAUCACGUCUCUGCCUACUUCGCUCGGCUUGGAUCUAAACUUGCACUCCAGGUAUUCUGUCUUAGAUCUGAUUAUUUUGAAACCCUUAGACUCGAGAGUAUGUCUCCAUACCUCUAACCUCUCAAUAACAUUGACCCUCGCCUCGUCUAUUAAGACUAUGUCAUCAACAAAUAGCAUACACCAAGGCACAUCCCCUUGAAUAUGUCGGGUCAGACACUUUGAUCACCCCGCUCCUAUACGAUGAGUGACGUCCCCGUCAAUCUCUCCGUCCCCCUGAAUCGCCGACCCAAGAUAUCUGACACUGUCCCUCUUGGCGAUGAUCUGAGAU